rnacentral:rRNA from 1 species
AUGUGCAGAAGGUCACUACAUCCCCAUGUUCCCAGCACAUAUAAGCAUGUGCACCUUUGUUCUCUUCUUCCAAGUAACCAGCAGCACAGCACAGCAUCAUCUCUAUGUCUUCCGACUCCGAUGAAUAUCAUCUUUUGUAUUGGGAACUUUACAGAAGCAAAACUCUCAAGUCUCAACCCUGAACUACAACACCACCCGACCGAGAGGAGCGUCGAACGCACUGUAUCAACUCCAGCAGACAAAGCUCCACCCCCACACCCAAGAACACGCACCCACGACGGAUCUGAGACUGGUAAAAACAGCAGAAAACCCCCCACCCCUCUACUACAUCUACUAAGCAGCUAUGGCGGCGUGCACCGAUGA